rnacentral:rRNA from 1 species
UACGUAGGGUGCGAGCGUUAAUCGGAAUUACUGGGCGUAAAGCGUGCGCAGGCGGUUUUGUAAGCCAGUCGUGAAAUCCCCGGGCUUAACCUGGGAAUGGCGAUUGGGACUGCAAGGCUGGAGUAUGGCAGAGGGGACUGGAAUUCCUGGUGUAGCAGUGAAAUGCGUAGAUAUCAGGAGGAAUACCGAUGGCGAAGGCAGGUCCCUGGGCUGAUACUGACGCUCAUGCACGAAAGCGUGGGGAG